CACUAUGAAAUUGUAAGACGACUGAACAAAACGAUUCUCAGAAGAGCAUCUGCAAAGUGCCCUUUCUCAACUUUGGGGACUAGAAAAACUGAGCUUCAGUAAAGAGAUUUUUAGGAAGUGUGCCUACUAAGGUGCUUACUUCGAAUUCCUUCCAUCUGAGUUAAAAUCGAAAAUUAAAAAUCUCACGUAUUAGACUAUUAAUUCAAAGGGGGAGGGGUUACUUAACUGCCCCUUUAAGAUUGCCUGUAGAGCGGGGACAUUCUUCCCUCCCUUCAAGUCUGUACUUAAAAUAUAGACUUAGAAAAAAAAAAUGCAUUCGUUAUUCUGUAGCCAGCGUUCAUUAUAUUCCCUUCCAUCCCCGCACCCCCCUCACCCCCCAACCCACCCUUUCCAGCACACACUUAAAUGAGUCACAGGAACAGUAGGGGGAAGCAAUGAAAAGAGAGAAAAUGAGAUUGGGAGCUGAAGCAACUUAGGGAAGGUCACUCACCUUGGAAAGGGCAGAGACAUGACUCAAACCUGGGGACCUGCCUCCAGGGUAUUUACUGAUGAAAAAUGACCUUCUAUUGGAAGAGGAUGCCAUCUUUCUAGGACUUUCAAAGCAAGAGAAGAAAAGUCAAUACCUUACGCUUCGAAGAACAGGUUGACUCUUGUUAGGGUCUAAAGCAGCUGAUGACUUUAGGUUGAAACCAAUGCAAAUCUGCCAUUCUGAAAAUCUUAGGGCCCUGAAGAAUUAUGCUGAAACUAUUCUGUCUGUGAUCUGUAAAAUGAACUAAUGAAGCCUGGAUGACAGCACAUCUGUUGACAACCUGGUUUGCUGAAUAUUUUAAGCCCACUGUUGAGACAUAAUGCUCAGCAAAAAAAAUUCCUUUCAAAUUAUUACUGCUCCUUGACAAACCACCUGGCUACCCAAGAGCUCUGAAGGAGAUGUACAAGCAGAUUGAUGCUGUUUUCAUGCCUUCUAACGUAAUGUCUAUUCUGCAGCCCAUGGAUCAGGGAGCUGUUUUGACUUUCAAGUCCUUGUAAGAAGUACAUUUCAUAAGACUGCAGCUGACAUAAUAGUGAUUCCUCUUAUGGAUUUGGGCAAAGUAAUUUUGAAAACUUUCUGGAAAGGAUUCACUAUUCUAGAUGCUAUUAAGAUUUGUGAUUCAUGGGAACAGAUAAAAAUGUCAACAGCUGUUUGGAAGAAGUUGAUUCCAACCCUCAUGGAUGACUUUGAGGUGUUCAAGACUUCACUGGAGAAAAUAACUGUAGAUGUGGUGAAUACAGCAAGAGAACUGGAAUGAGAAGUGGAGCCUGAAGAUGUGACUGCAGUGCUGCAAUCUCAUGAUAAAACUUGAACAGUUGAGGAAUCGUUUCAUACAGAUAAGCAAAGAAACUGGUUUCUUGAGAUGGGAUUUACUGCUGGUAAAGUUGCUGUGAAGACUGCUGAAAU